rnacentral:rRNA from 1 species
UAAGUAUUCCACNUGNGGUAGUACAUUCGCAAGAAUGAAACUUAAAGGAAUUGACCGGGACCCGCACAAGCGGUGGAGCAUNUGGUUUAAUUNGAAGAAACGNGAAAAACCUUACNUGGAUUUGACAUCCCUUGCAAAGCUAUGGAAACAUAGGGAGGUUAUCAAGGUGACAGGUGGNNCAUGGUUGUCGACAGUUCGUGUCGUGAGAUGUAUGGUUAAGUCCCAUAACGAGCGCAACCCUCAUCCUUAUUUGCUAACAUUUAGUUGAGAACUAUAAGGAAACAGCAGUCGUAAGAUUGGGGAAGGUGGGGAUGACGUCAAAUCAUCAUGCCCCUUAUAUUCAGGGCUACACACGUGCUANNANGGUUGAGACAAAGGGAAGCUAACCCGUGAGGGGGUGCAAAUCUCAUCAAACUCAAUCUCAGUUUGGA